UACAGAGACCUCAAGCGUUAUCCGGAUUUAUUGGGCGUAAAGCGUCCGCAGGUUUCUUAUUAAGUCUUGUGUUAAAGCCCAGAGCUUAACUCUGGAUCAGCACCAGAUACUGAUAAGAUAGAGGACGGAAGAGGCAUACGGAAUUGCAGGUGUAGUCGUAAUAAGCGUUGAUAUCUGCAAGAACACCAAAAGCGAAGGCAGUAUGCUGGUACGUUCCUGACACUCAUGGACGAAAGCGUGGGGAGCAAACAGG
rnacentral:rRNA from 1 species